UGCCUACGGGAGGCAGCAGUGGGGAAUAUUGCACAAUGGGGGAAACCCUGAUGCAGCGACGCCGCGUGAGCGAUGAAGUAUUUCGGUAUGUAAAGCUCUAUCAGCAGGGAAGAAGAUGACGGUACCUGACUAAGAAGCCCCGGCUAACUACGUGCCAGCAGCCGCGGUAAUACGUAGGGGGCAAGCGUUAUCCGGAUUUACUGGGUGUAAAGGGAGCGUAGGCGGUCCGGAAAGUCAGCGGUAAAAGCCCGGGGCUCAACCCCGGCGAGCCGUUGAAACUGUCGGACUAGAGACGGCGAGAAGUA
rnacentral:rRNA from 1 species